GCUGCGGUGUCCGAGCGGUUAAGGAGAUAGACUUGAAAUCCAUUGGGUUCCACCCGCACAGGUUCGAAUCCUGUCCGCCAGCG
rfam:Solenopsis invicta Si_gnG.contig05859, whole genome shotgun sequence.